GCCUGGGUGGCUCAGUCGGUUGAGCGUCCGACUUCAGCUCAGGUCAUGAUCUCACUCUCCGUGAGUUCGAGCCUCGCGUCGGGCU
rfam:Felis catus isolate Cinnamon breed Abyssinian chromosome X, whole genome shotgun sequence.